rnacentral:rRNA from 1 species
GACGAACGCUGGCGGCGUGCUUAACACAUGCAAGUCGAACGGUGAAAGCGGAGCUUGCUCCGCUGGAUCAGUGGCGAACGGGUGAGUAACACGUGUGCAACCUGCCCCUGACUUCGGGAUAACUCCUCGAAAGAGGUGCUAAUACCGGAUACGAAUCCUGCAGGCAUCUGCGGGAUUGGAAAGCUUUUCGGUCAGGGAUGGACCCGCGGCCUAUCAGCUUGUUGGUGAGGUAGUGGCUCACCAAGGCGACGACGGGUAGCCGGCCUGAGAGGGCGAACGGCCGCACUGGGACUGAGACACGGCCCAGACUCCUACGGGAGGCAGCAGUGGGGAAUAUUGCGCAAUGGGCGAAAGCCUGACGCAGCAACGCCGCGUGAGGGAUGACGGCCUUCGGGUUGUAAACCUCUUUCAGCAGGGAAGAAGCGAAAGUGACGGUACCUGCAGAAGAAGCACCGGCUAACUACGUGCCAGCAGCCGCGGUAA